AAGACGCAAGGAGCUGGAAACAGGAACUCAAAGAGACGAUACCGCAGUAGUUUUCAAUAUACAUUAGCUAAGCUUUAACUUGAAGAAAGAAGAAGACUUAUGGCAUGGUAUUGCAGGCAGAGACGGAAAUCAAACCAGAGGACGGACUUUAAUCACGAAAAACACAUUGAAAGAGCCAAUGAAGGAAACCUUAAGAUAGGAGGUAUAUACUCACCGCUGAAUCACACGCCCUGAGCAGUUGGGUUCAGAGAAGCAACAAGCAAAAAUGGACAUUUGCGAGGAAAACGGCCAACUUUUAUGAGCUAAGAACAUCACGGAAAAUCAAUUU